UAGCUGCAGUAUUUUGACUGUACAAAGGUAGCAUAAUCAUUAGUCCUUUAAUUGAGGGCUUGUAUGAAUGGUUUGACGGAAAAUAAUCUUUUUUAUUAUUAUAAUUAUUGAAUUUAAUUUUUAAGUUAAAAAGCUUAAAUAUUUAAAAGGGACGAUAAGACCCUAUAGAAUUUAAUAAAAUAUUUGAUUAUGUUUAUUUAAUUGGGGUGAUUAGUAAGUAACUUUAUUUUAAACUUCAUAAAUAUAUGAAUUAUUGAUCCUAAAUUUUAGAUAAGAAGAUAAAAUUACCUUAGGGAUAACAGCAUAAUUUUUUUUAAAAGAUCUUAUUAAUAAAAAAGAUUAUGACCUCGAUGUUGAAUUAAGAUAAUAUUUAGGUGUAGAAGUUUAAAUAUUAAGUCUGUUCGACUUUAAUUUUUACAUGAUUUGAGUUCAAACCGGCGUGAGCCAGGUUGGUUUCUAUCUUUUUACAUUU
rnacentral:rRNA from 1 species